rnacentral:rRNA from 1 species
GCAAGUCGAGGGGUAAGUCCCGAAUUCGUCGGGAACACGACCGGGCGCACGGGUGAGUAACGCGUAUGUAACUUACCUCUAACUAGAGGAUAGCCCGAAGAAAUUCGGAUUAAUACUCUAUAAUAUCAUAGGAUCACAUGUUUUUUAUGAUUAAAGCUCCGGCGGUUAGAGAUAGGCAUGCGUACCAUUAGCUUGUUGGUGAGGUAACGGCCCACCAAGGCAACGAUGGUUAGGGGAUCUGAGAAGAUGAUCCCCCACACUGGUACUGAGACACGGACCAGACUCCUACGGGAGGCAGCAGUGAGGAAUAUUGGGCAAUGGACGCAAGUCUGACCCAGCCAUGCCGCGUGCAGGAUGACGGCCCUAUGGGUUGUAAACUGCUUUUGUACAGGAACAAACACUCCGACGUGUCGGAGCUUGACUGUACUGUACGAAUAAGCAUCGGCUAACUCCGUGCCAGCAGCCGCGGUAAUACGGAGGAUGCAAGCGUUAUCCGGAUUUAUUGGGUUUAAAGGGUGCGUAGGCGGGAUUAUAAGUCAGUGGUGAAAUCUUCCGGCUUAACCGGGAAACUGCCAUUGAUACUGUUAUUCUUGAGUGCAGUUGAGGUGGGCGGAAUGUGUAAUGUAGCGGUGAAAUGCUUAGAUAUUACACAGAACACCUAUUGCGUAGGCAGCUCACUAAACUGUAACUGACGCUGAGGCACGA